UAGCUUGGCCUUUUUCGAUUUCCUAUUUAGCGCUUUGAAUUCUUCUGCUGUUCCUACCUAGCGUUGAGGCCAUAGGGCUUUCUUGUAAAGAAGUUCGAAUUAUAAUAAAGUAACGGUUCGGGAGAGCCUAUGCGGAAGCCUUUUUUUUUCCUUCUUCAGCUUGCUUUCCUGCGUCUCUUAUGAUGGUUUGCUUGCUAACGUAACGAGCAGAGGGAGGGCGUGCUACGAGCUUCCGGUGGACCAAGUUCUUAUAAAACAACGUAUUUUCUGAUCUACAUCUCAUGCAAGAUGCUGGGUGGCAUGGAACUACUGGUAAUUAAUCCAUCUGCUGAUGGU
rnacentral:lncRNA from 1 species